rnacentral:rRNA from 1 species
UACAGAGGGGGCAAGCGUUAUUCGGAAUUAUUGGGCGUAAAGGGCGCGUAGGCGGCUUGGCAAGUGGAUGGUGAAAUCCCUCGGCUUAACCGAGGAACUGCCGUCCAAACUGCUUUCGCUUGAGACCGGGAGAGGUGAGUGGAAUUCCCAGUGUAGCGGUGAAAUGCGUAGAUAUUGGGAGGAACACCAGUGGCGAAGGCGGCUCACUGGACCGGUACUGACGCUGAUGCGCGAAAGCGUGGGGAGCAAACGGGG